rnacentral:lncRNA from 1 species
GUGUCCAAAAUACAUAACAAGAUUUCCAAAAUCUAUGUUCAACCAAAAAAAUCUUCCAAAACCUUCAACUAUCUCAACUUGUAGCUCAUCCAUAAUAAUCUUCAAUUGGACUUAUUACAGGUCUUCUUCCUGGGAGAGGUCCUUAUUCCUACUUCUUUCAAUUUCCAAUCGGUUGCAUGUAGCCAGCUAGCUCAUUUAUCCUCUUGACAUUUUGUA